GCCUGGGUGGCUCAUUCGGUUAAGCGUCUGACUUCAGCUCAGGUCACGAUCUCACGGCCCCAUCCAUGAGUUCGAGUCCCACCUCAGGCU
rnacentral:tRNA from 1 species